rnacentral:rRNA from 1 species
UACGGGGGGAGCAAGCGUUGUUCGGAUUUACUGGGCGUAAAGGGCGCGUAGGCGGCCACCGCAAGUCGACUGUGAAAUCUCCGGGCUUAACCCGGAAAGGUCAGCCGAUACUGCGGGGCUAGAGUGCAGAAGGGGCAACUGGAAUUCUCGGUGUAGUGGUGAAAUGCGUAGAUAUCGGGAGGAACACCAGUGGCGAAGGCGACUACCUGGCCUGUUCUUGACGCUGAGGCGCGAAAGCUAGGGGAGCAAACGGG